rnacentral:rRNA from 1 species
GAACGCCAUCCUUAUGGUGUGAGUGGCAGACGGCUGAGUACACGUGGGUGACUACUAUUGGUGGGGAAUAACUGCCCGAAAGGGUGGCUAAUACCGCAUACGCCUGUUCGUUCGUUUCGGAUAGGGAAAAUCGCAAGAUGCCGAUGGAUCGGUCCGCGACCGAUUAGCCAGUUGGUGGGGUAACGGCCUACCAAAGCGACGAUCGGUAUCUGGUCUCAUAGGAUGAUCUGCCAUACUGGGAUUGAUACUCUGCCCAUAUUCCUACUGGAGGCAUCAUUUAUGAAUUUUGGGCAAUGGGCGCAAGCCUGACCCAGCAUCGCCGCGUGGGUGACGAAGGCCUUCGGGUUGUAAAGCCCUUUUCUGGAGGAUGAUGAUGACUGUACUCCAUGAAGAAUCACCGGCUAUCUACGUGCCAUCAGCCGUGGUAAU